UACGGAGGAUGCAAGCGUUAUCCGGAAUGAUUGGGCGUAAAGCGUCCGCAGGUGGCUGUGUAAGUCUGCUGUUAAAGAGUGAGGCUCAACCUCAUAAAGGCAGUGGAAACUACGCGGCUAGAGUGCGUUCGGGGCAGAGGGAAUUCCUGGUGUAGCGGUGAAAUGCGCAGAUAUCAGGAGGAACACCGGUGGCGAAGGCGGCAUUCUGGACCGACAUUGACGCUGAGGAGCGAAAGCCAGGGGAGCAAACGGG
rnacentral:rRNA from 1 species